ACAAAACCAUGACUCAUGGUGAACAUUCCCGGGCCCUGAGGUGGACGUGGUCACACACACGCACAGCCCAGGCUCACGCACGCACACGCACGGUGCCAGGGGAACUUGGACUCCGUUAUCUGGCCGUCAUGUCCUGGUCUUUCCCAAACUACAACAGAGAAUUAGAAGCCAACUCUAUUAAAAAAUAUGGAUGUGACUGCAACUGGCUAGAAGUCGAAAUUUCCUAGAUGCAAAUUCACGGACGUAUGCGGGUCUGCCUACAUUACAAUAAUCUGAGAAAGUGUUGUAAAAAUAGAUGCCCUCAUCCCAGUCUGCACUUUUUAUUUUUUUCACCCCCAGCUCUAGAGAUUUUGAUUCAGCAUGUCAAGAGUGGGGUCUGGAAAUGUUAC